GUAUCUAAAGUUAAACAUAUAUAUUAUAUAAUUUAAUAGAUCAAUACCUAGUUUAAAUUUCUAAGUUCACUUUUAUGACUAUAUUCUCUUUGUUUAUAUUGCUCAAAUUCUAAGGAGAGCAGAAGAAAUAUAUCUAGGAACAUACACCAACUCUGUUAAUCAGCAAGCCAAGGAAGUGAUAUGAGUAUGUGGAGAGAAACCUUUACAAAAAUGACCAGAUCAACUACCUAGGCGUGAACUGUUUUGGAAGAACUUCAUUUGUGCAAUGUGUUUAACCAGGAAGCAACUAAUCUUACUUUCCAUUUGGGAACCCCUGUUGUUAAUGCUGCAUCAUAAAGUAUUUACCCAAUGGAUAUGAGCACAUAUUUUGCCAAUUCUGGCUGGUUAUGUUGUGAUGAAUAAAUGCUCUGUACUUCAA